GUGUGCAGAGUUUAGCUCCCUCAGGCCUGACAUUUUGCAAGAGCUGUGGCUGUGAUUUAGGUCAGCUGAGGCAAACCUCAGCUAGGAGGAGGAAACGUUCUCUUCCCCUUAUCGCAAGGCACAAGUUCUGCAUGGUUUGGCCAAGAGGAAGAAGCUUCCUGCAUACUUAUCCUGGGAGCAGUACAUUCUGAAGAAACAAAUGCAUCCUCAGAGGAGUAGAUAAUGUCUACAAAGAACUUUAGGAGGGUACUUAUCAAACAAACAGGAACAAUUUGAAUCUAGCUCUGUGUAUCCGCUGAGGCAUGAUAUUUGGACAAUGUGGGUAAAGUGUUAUUGAAGAAUUGCUUGCUUUGUUAGAAGAAGUGUAUAAAAGGAACUUGCAAAUAAACUUCAGCAUGCAGUUGCAUUUGCUGCCUUGGCUCUGCAUCCCGUGUCCCGGUUAUUUCGUGACCCUUACCCAGGGACCCGAACGCUCUAGACGUUCACAAAGGUAGCUUCUUAUUGGUGUUGAUCAUGAAUCCAGUAACAUUAUCAAGAAUGAUGUGGAAGCUAGAGGCAAAAAAAGGAAAGAUGGAGGUAGAUCUCAUGAAAAUCAGUAGAAGAGCAGAAGCAGAAAGCCUCCAAAGGGUGGAAUGUGAGCAAACUUCCGACAACAAAAUAGACAGCAUUUGGUGAUGAUGAACAUCCCAGUUGCCACACAGGCCAGCAGGAACCCAAGCACAUCCAAAGAGUAGUACUGGAACCAGGAGAGGUAAUGGGCAGCCACCCGGAGGUGUUUAGCUCCUUUGUGGCGCAUGACAAACUCUAUCCAGAAGACAGCUUGGUCCAGAGGCUUCACUGGAUGUUCAUGGUGAAUUCUUGAUAAUCUCAUAACAUUCUCUUUAUAUCUAUACAACAAUCAUAAGAUACCAAUAUUUUAAAAAAGUUAAUUGGCCUAAAUUUUUAAGUCCCUGAAAGGUUCUUUGAAAGUUUCACAAAACUGGGUCAAAUAAGUGUCAUAGAACAGCCAUAGAAGUAUUUUUUUUUUUUUUAAUUCUGUUGUCUUGAGAAA